UACGAAGGGGGCUAGCGAUGUUCGGAUUUACGGGGCGUAAAGGGCGCGUAGGCGGAUUUUUAAGUCGGGGGUGAAAUCCCGGAGCUCAACUCCGGAACUGCCUUCGAUACUGAAAGUCUGGAGCACGGUAGAGGUGAGUGGAAUUCCGAGUGUAGAGGUGAAAUUCGUAGAUAUUCGGAGGAACACCAGUGGCGAAGGCGGCUCACUGGACCGUUGCUGACGCUGAGGCGAGAAAGCGUGGGGAGCAAACAGG
rnacentral:rRNA from 1 species